AUCGAACGCUGGCGGCAGGCCUAACACAUGCAAGUCGAGCGGAUGAAGGGAGCUUGCUCCUGGAUUCCGAGGCGGAAGGGGGAGUAAUGCCUAGGAAUAUGCCUGGUAGUGGGGGAUAACGUCCGGAAACGGGCGCUACUACCGCAUACGUCCUGAGGGAGAAAGUGGGGGAUCUUCGGACAUCACGCUAUCAGAUGAGUCUAGGUCGGAUUAGCUAGUUGGUGGGGUAAAGGCUUACUAAGGCGACGAUCCGCAACUGGUCUGCGAGGAUGAUUAGUCACACUGGAGCGUAGACAGGGUCCAUACGCCUACGGGAGGCAGCAGUGGGGAAUAUUGGGCAGUGGGCGAAAGCCUGGUCCAGCCGUGCCGCGUGUGUGAAGAAAGUCUUCGGAUUGUAAAGCACGUUUAGUGGUGGUGAAGGGCAGUAAGUUAAUACCAUGCUGUUUUGACGUUACCAACAGAAUAAGCACCGGCUAACUUCGUG
rnacentral:rRNA from 1 species